CAGAAAACAAAUCCUAAAUAUCUGUGCCAACAUUUAACUGUCUGUUUUAUAUGAUUUUUUUUAUAAUUAGUAUUUUUAUUAUUGUUAGAUGAUAAAACAUGAUUAAUACUUUAUGUGUGACUUAUCUUUUUAAUUUUUUUAUAAUUUUUUUAAAAUAAAAUGGAUAGUCAAACGUUAGAUAUGAAAAGGGAG
rfam:Oryza rufipogon genomic scaffold, chr05